UACAGAGGGGGCAAGCGUUGUUCGGAAUUACUGGGCGUAAAGGGCGCGUAGGCGGCCUGCUAAGUCGAACGUGAAAUCCCUGGGCUCAACCCAGGAACUGCGUCCGAUACUGGUUGGCUUGAAUCCGGGAGAGGGACGUGGAAUUCCAGGUGUAGCGGUGAAAUGCGUAGAUAUCUGGAGGAACACCGGUGGCGAAGGCGGCUCUCUGGACCACAACUGACGCUGAGGCGCGAAAGCUAGGGGAGCAAACAGG
rnacentral:rRNA from 1 species